rnacentral:rRNA from 1 species
GAUGAACGCUAGCGGCAGGCCUAAUACAUGCAAGUCGGCCGGGAUCCAUCGGAGAGCUUGCUCGAAGAUGGUGAGAGUGGCGCACGGGUGCGUAACGCGUGAGCAACCUACCUCUAUCAGGGGGAUAGCCUCCCGAAAGAGAGAUUAACCCCGCAUAAUAUACUCUUCCGGCAUCGUUAGAUUAUUAAAUUUUUAUAGGAUAGAGAUGGGCUCGCGUGACCUUAGCUAGUUGGUAAGGUAACGGCUUACCAAGGCGACGAUGUCUAGGGGCUCUGAAAAGAGAAUCCCCCACACGGGUACUGAAACACGGACCAGACUCCUACGGGAGGCAGCAGUAAGGAAUAUUUGUCAAUGGGUGGAAGCCUGAACCAGCCAUGCCGCGUGCAGGACGACUGCCCUAUGGGUUGUAAACUGCUUUUGUCCAGGAAUAAACCUAAAUACGUUUAUUUAGCUGAAUGUACUGGAAGAAUAAGGAUCGGCUAACUCCGUGCCAGCAGCCGCCGUAACAC